UUUCCUCUCAAUUCAAACAAAGCCAAGUUGGAAGUUGGGACGGACUGCUUCUCCAAUUGCAUUGGACCCAAGGUUGAAGAAUAUAAGUUGGGGUAUUUUUAUACAGUACUUUAGGAAGCUUAUUGAGAAAACGAAUCAAAGUUACGUUGUUGAUUUUGUUGUGGAGCAGCUGGAUGAUAGAUGAUAGAUGGUGGAGGACCUUGUCAUUUUCUCAUGGUAUAGAUGAAAAAGAUCCACAUGAACAGAUUGAUAAUUUGAAAGUGGAACUGAAACUUUUAACCAACUUUACUGAUUUACAUAGAAUUUUGACCUAUUCUGAUGACAAGUGGGUGUUGGUCAGUUGGGAUCUCUAUUCUUGAACCUUGAAGAGGGACUUUCAUGUUGCUUUUGAGAAAGAUAUGCAUUAGGGGAUGUAUGGUUAUGUCCUGCAACUCCUAAGUUUCAAUCAAAUAUUGCAUCCUUGAGGCAGCGAAUUGAAGCAGAAUAUGAUUCUACUUCAUUGAACAACUAUUCGUUUGAUCCCAGCCUCUGCUGAGGGAUUAUGAUCUUUGGAAGCAAUUUAUUUCCUCUCUUGGGUGAAAGUCUGCGGGAUCUUUACAACGGGAAAGAUGAGUUGCUUCAGCCUCAUAGGUUUACAGCUGCGUGCCAUGCUAGAGAUGCUAGAAUCCUUGAGGUGCUUUAUCUUCUAUGUUGAAGGCUUCUAUUCCUGAGGAGGCUGAACUUUGAUUCCUUUUUAGACGGUUCAUGCACCUGAUAAUGUUUGUGCUGGUGAGCUUGUUUUUUCACUUAGCGGUCUCAUGUGGACGAAACAAUAGCUGGCAUAGACAAGAAAGCUGAUCCAGCUCCUGUUAAGUUGCUUGAAAAGAUGGGGAUUCCAAGGUUGAGGUGUUCUUCUGGAGCUGCUAAGCCAAAAUAUCCAUUUGGAGUCCCUUGUGGAGAAUAUUAUUGAUUCUCUCAAUGAUUUACAUGGCUUUUGUGAAUCUUUGUUGCAAAACAUAUACACCUUAGGGGAACAAUAAUGUUCCUAAACCAAUCUCAAUGAAUGGUAAAUCUAAGGCUAGGAAGUGUAACUCUUUCUCUGUCUCAUUUCAUGCCAAGUCAAUGAUUGAAGAUAUGGCCAAACAUUGAGCUUCUUAAGUUUCUUGACCAGCUUAAGCUGUUAAAAUGGAGCUGCUUCUGGAAGUGCCUUUUGAUGGGCAAGCACAUAUGAUUUUAAAUGUGAAAAACAAUAGAAGCCUAUUGUGAGGGGCCGCAGUAUUCUACAUUUUUCUGCUGUGUCUACUAGUGGAGAAUGAUGUAAUGAUCUUGAAACACUUGAAAUCAGCAGCAAAUGACACAGCUUCAGUUUAUUAUGCUUUUCAUGCUAAAGCUAUUGUACAAGACACUGAGGAAUUGUUGCAAUUUGCUUCCCGAAAGUAUAAAAGAUUAAACUUGUCAUCACUCAUCAGAGAUCAAAUGGAUUAAUCCACCUGUUCAA